UACGUAGGGUGCAGGCGUUAAUCGGAAUUACUGGGCGUAAAGCGUGCGCAGGCGGUUUGUUAAGACAGGUGUGAAAUCCCCGGGCUUAACCUGGGAACUGCGUUUGAAACUACGGAGCUAGAGUGUGGCAGAGGGGGGUGGAAUUCCACGUGUAGCAGUGAAAUGCGUAGAUAUGUGGAGGAAUACCGAUGGCGAAGGCAGCCCCCUGGGUCGAUACUGACGCUCAUGCACGAAAGCGUGGGGAGCAAACAGG
rnacentral:rRNA from 1 species